UACGAAGGGGGCUAGCGUUGCUCGGAAUCACUGGGCGUAAAGGGUGCGUAGGCGGGUUCUUAAGUCAGAGGUGAAAUCCUGGAGCUCAACUCCAGAACUGCCUUUGAUACUGAGAGUCUUGAGUUCGGGAGAGGUGAGUGGAACUGCGAGUGUAGAGGUGAAAUUCGUAGAUAUUCGCAAGAACACCAGUGGCGAAGGCGGCUCACUGGCCCG
rnacentral:rRNA from 1 species